rnacentral:rRNA from 1 species
UACGUAGGCAGCAAGCGUUGUUCGGAGUUACUGGGCGUAAAGAGUGCGUAGGUGGUGCCCUAAGUCUGUUGUGAAAUCUCCCGGCUUAACUGGGAGGGUGCGGUGGAAACUGGGGUGCUUGAGUGUGGGAGAGGUAAGCGGAAUUCCUGGUGUAGCGGUGAAAUGCGUAGAUAUCAGGAGGAACACCGGUGGCGAAGGCGGUUUCUGGGCCGACACUGACGCUGAGGCACGAAAGCGUGGGAGCGAACAGG